rnacentral:lncRNA from 1 species
GAAAAAAUCAAAAUUCCGGAGAACAAAAAUGGGUGAGGAUCUUUGACCAAUAUCUCUCUCCCUCUCACAAGCUAACUUGUCCUUCGGUUCAACUUAUUAUUUAUGAAGUCAAACAUUAAUUAAUUCAUUGCCUUGUUUAUCAACAAUACGAUCGACUGAUCGAGGACUAUGAAAAAUUAAGGUUUACAAACUGAUCAUAUUCACUUGAAUUGCUCAACUAUAUAAUCUGCUUGCUUGCAUUAAGCUUGCUUUGAAUUAUCAUUAGAUAAUAAUAUUAAAACCUGAAACACCAUGCAGAAAUUUAAAGUUGGUACGGCGUAAUGAAAUCUUCUCACUCUGCCCACUUUCAUUUUCUCUCUCUCUUUCUUCGUCUUUUCUCAUUCUUUUUCGCCCAAAUUAAUUAGAAUGAAUCUGAAUCGUUCUUGUACUUUUCCACCCAAAUUCAAAAUAGGUUUUAUCUUAUUAAUACAAAUAAUAAUAUUAUAACCUGAAAAACCAGGCAGAAACCUGAAGUUGGUACAAGAUUUUAUAGCCGGCCGCAGAAAAGAGAAGGGUAUAAAACUUUAAUUUACUCGGAAAGCAUAAUUGUAAAAUAUGAGAGAAGAGAGGACAUAUUUAUAUAUAAAAUUACGUACACAUGCAAGCUAUAGAUCUAGAAAAUCUUGAUUUACAUUUAUAGAUAAACCCAUACUUUGUAUACAUAUAUAUAUAAUUAAGCUAGCGUUCAUGCCAUGCAGUCUUUUGCCUGUUCUGAGCUUCCCUUUGUAUCUGCUGAUGAACGGCCGGCAGGGUGAAUUUUCUUUCUGUUACCACCAAACUUUUUCCGGCCUUUUUCUCUCUCCUCUGCUCGCUUCACUUUAUUCUCGACGCGCUUUUGCUGUAUGUAAAGUACACCAAAACUAGCUCCGACGGACGUCAUGGCCGGAAAAUGAAGAACUGUAUGUGGGAAAUUAUGUGUGCGAUCCUGCGAUGUGGGCGGAUUAAUUUGCAAUGGAGUUAGAGAACCCCCAAGGAAGGAAUUUAUAGCCUUUAUAUAUAAGGCAAGAAGAAAUGAUGUUAACAUUUCAACAUUUUAACUUUUUGGGGUCAGAUUCGUAAAAUUUUUAAAUUCAAAGGCCAUGCGAAAUCAUUUAUGCUAGGUUUGUUUGCAAUUUGCAAAUACUGGAUUGGGAUAUAACUAUUUUUAAUAACUUAAAUUAUUAUCAUUAUAGACUAUUUUAUCUUAUAGUUAAUUCGUUAUUUAAUUUUAUGGAUUUU